rnacentral:rRNA from 1 species
CACGUAGGGCGCAAGCGUUGUCCGGAAUUAUUGGGCGUAAAGAGCGUGUAGGCGGCCACACAGGUCAGCUGUGAAAACUCGAGGCUCAACCUCGAGACGUCGGUUGAAACCGUAUGGCUAGAGUCCGGAAGAGGAGAGUGGAAUUCCCGGUGUAGCGGUGAAAUGCGCAGAUAUCGGGAAGAACACCCGUGGCGAAGGCGGCUCUCUGGGACGGUACUGACGCUGAGGCGCGAAAGCGUGGGUAGCAAACAGG